CGGAGGGUGCAAGCGUUGUCCGGAUUUAUUGGGUUUAAAGGGUGCGUAGGCGGCCCGUUAAGUCAGUGGUGAAAGCCUCCAGCUCAACUGGAGAACUGCCAUUGAUGCUGGCGGGCUUGAGUACAGACGAGGUUGGCGGAAUUGAUUGUGUAGCGGUGAAAUGCAUAGAUACAAUCAAGAACACCGAUUGCGUAGGCAGCUAACUAGGCUGUAACUGACGCUGAGGCACGAAAGCGUGGGGAGCGAACAGGAUUAGAUACCCUGGUAGUCCACGCUGUAAACGAUGAUUACUCGAUGUCGGCGAUAAACUGUCGGCGUCUUAGCGAAAGCGUUAAGUAAUCCACCUGGGGUGUACGCCCGCAAGGGUG
rnacentral:rRNA from 1 species